ACUGCCAGCAGAUGGCACUGCAGCGCGGCUUCUGACGGGACACGUGACUCUUGUUUUGGUUUGUUCGCUUCCUGUUUAGACAUUGGCUUAUGUGCGAGGGUAUAGCUUAAUUUGAGCCAGGUGUCCAUGUUUAGCUUGAUUAUGUUGAUUAUUUAAACCCCUCGGUGACUGCACACUUUGCGCAGUCUUAUACUUUGUACCAAAUGUCUGACGAUAGUGAACGCAUUAGCAUGCUAAGCGGUCUUAGUGUCAUGUUUGAAGCCAGAUUUGGCUAGACCGUGUUUCCUUGUGUUUGGUUGCUUGCUUGGUUUAUCAAUAAAGACUUUGCUCUACACCUGCAUCCGCUUCCAGUCCCGUUCCGUGACAUAAUACUGCGCCCCGAGCAUGGAAGCAGCAGAUCAACGUGAGCACCGAGUUCGAGAAGUUGGGCCGAUCGUUCUGGGAAGAGAGUAAGCGUAUCGACAAAAGACUUGCCCAGAUCGAUCGCCAGCUAAUGCAACGAGGGCUGCUGCAGCAAGCCGGCCCAUGCGCCAUAUCGCCACCCGCGCAAUUUCCCACGUCCCGGCUGCCGGAGAGUUAUGCCGUGCCGCGUGGGUAACAGAGCUACUCGAACUCCUGGAGCUUCCCACUUUAGGGGAAUUAUACUACGCCAUGCAGCCAGUAAAGAUACCCGUCCUCCUGGAGCCUCCCACUGCAGGGGAAUUGCACCACGCUGCCCAGCCCAGAACCGAAGGCUAGCCUAGAACUUAUUUUGGGUGGGGGUCAAUGACGACAGCAGAGCUCCAGCGUGAGGCCUAUGGGGAGGCCUCAGCUGUGGAGCUCCCGCCUGAGGUCAACAUGGCAACCUCAGAGCUACAGCUUGAGGCCUACGGGGAGGUCUCUGCUGUGUAGCUCCUGCACGUCAAAGAAGCUGUCCCGCCGCCCUGCCCUAAGGUUACUCAAAUAGUCACUAUUUACAAACGUGGUGGGGAGAAAAGCAUCUCAGAACACACAUCACGUCGAAACUUGAGGUUUGUGGGCAACAACAGCCUCUACUGAAGAACAGUGGUUACCAACUUUGUUCCUGGAGAUCCACCUUCCUGAAGACUUUAGCUCCAACCAUAAGGGUGCCCACCUGAUAAUCUAAUCUCUGCCUUAAGAAGUUCUUGAUCAGCUAAAACAGGUGUGAACUUGUUGAUGAUGAAGAAUCUCUAAUCCUCUAUAACAAGUUCAUCUUGACCCUACCAACCAUCGACACCUCAUUCAACAACCGCUUCAUCCGCAAACCUGAAGAAACGACAUUUAGUUCCAAUGUGUCGAAGCCACAUAGAGGAAUGACAAACAAAAC
ensembl:lncRNA